rnacentral:lncRNA from 1 species
CUGCCCUGGGUGGGGGGAGGGGUGCUGGCAGGCAGAGGACUCUGUUCUCCACGUAGCUGACCCUGUCCUCCAGCUGUCACUCAGUGGAGCUGCACCUCGGCUGGCACUCGGGGUUUGUGUCCCAUCAUCCCCAGGCCUGGUUCUGCCUCCCGACCGCUCAUCAGCUUGGCAGAAGCAACCCUCGAGUUUGCCUUCAAUGUCUGCCUUCUGACCACACUGGACACACCUGGCCUCUGAGCUGGGUACCUGUUCACUCCUGGACACACCUCCUCGUGACCAACUACCUACCAGCGCCCUCCGUACCUGGGAAUCAUGUUCGACAAGUUAGAAGAAGAUUCCAGAAACCCAAAGCGGGUGAAAGUCCCUUUCUUAAUAGGACAGAGACCCUCAGAGCAGGCACAGGUAAAACCAAAGACGGCACUUAGCAACUCGGCACAUGCUUUGCUUUAAAUGCUGUUUUGAUGUCUGCCUUUGACUAGAAAUUCUUUCCAAAGGUCAGUGAUUACUGAUCAGCUGCCUGUUAGUUCAGAGCCUCAUUAACCCUUUCAUCCUUAAUGACGCACUUGACAGAGAGAGCAAGUGCAUCUGCCAAUAAGUGGGUCAGUUCAGUGACCCGUCCACUGAGGAGCAGAGUGCAUCCUGUUUUGAGUUACAGUUCAUCGAGAACUAAGCUUUUUAUUCCCUCUUUUUUCUCACAUAUUUCCUAUAAUUUUGCAUAACAUCACUGUGCCAAAUGUUAAAUGAUGGGCAGGUGGGUAAAGGAGGCAAGAAUUCAGAAGUUCUGGGCAUAGAAAUCCAGAGCGUAUAAAUAUAUGAGCAUCAACUGCUCGUUUUUUAUGGUUUAUUUUUGGUUUGGUUGUUGCUGUUUGUUUUGCUUUGCUGAGGAUCGAAGCCAGGGUCUCACACAUACUAGCAAGUGCUCUGCCGCUGAGCUACACCCACAGCCCCCUCAUUUUUAUGGUUAUAAAAAGUGCUGUUCAUUACACCCAUAUAAAAUCAGAGGCUACAGCACAUAUAAAAUCAGAGGCUACAGCACAGCAGUUGAUGUUCUUCCUCGUGGUUUUUUUUUUUUCUGUCUCCAUUUUUCAAAAGACCUAAGGGUGGUUUUAACACAUGUCACUGUGAACAUGAAAAGGAGGCUCAGGUGGAAGCAGGAGGGAAAUCCUUGGGCCCUUUCUCCCAAGGUUCGGCUUCUCCACGGCUGGCAUCUCUUGGACUCUGAUGGUGGUUUAGCAAGGGGGCCCAGGGGAGAUACUUAUACUUUGCUUUUGAAUAUAGCAAAAUUGAAACAAAAGCCUUAUCUUUACAAGAUGAUCUUAUGAAAAUAGAGCAGAAAGCUUGAUACUAAAUGUGGGUUACACAUGGCUACAAAGCAAAUUCAGGCAGCUAAGCCACCAUGGGUCCAGGACCACCAGGGGUGCAGCAGCGGCUCCGGGGACAACAGGCACCUGCCAAAGCAUCUGGGUGCAGUGGGAGGUGUGCUGUCCCAGGACCCCAAGACAUGGGGCUCUCUUCUCUUCUGAGUCUCAGGAGACUGGACCCCACAUGAGAUGCUGUGGCAGCCCAGAUGACACAGGCACUAACUGGACCCUGCCCCCAGGCAUGGCCAGGUAGCUGCACCACCCACCAUGGGGCUAACCAGGAGCCCAGCCCUGCCCGCCACACUGCUGCAGCCAGUGCCUGCCCAAGCCCUGCUGCUCCUCUUAGUCUGACGGCUCCUCUCUCCCCACUUCCCUCCACUCGAAGUUACACUGUGUCUCACCAGACCUCCUCACUGACCCCUCUGUCUCCACCCCCACCCCCGUGUGCAUCUGUCCCCACAAUGCAGCAGACUCGUCACAGGGACGUGAACUGGAUGACAGCAUCUUCCUCAGCCCCCUGCCUCCCCCUUUGCUCUUCUGGUGGGGACUGACAUGUUCCAGGUGGCCCACACCUCCUGGCUUCCAGGCCUGUCCUUCCUCCCCACACCACCCGCCCCUCUGCUCUUGCGCCUCGCGGACCAUCUGUGCCUUGAAUGUGCCCGGUAUCUGCACACCUGCCGUUUCCUCUUCCUGGGUGCUGCUCCAGGGCUCUGGCGCUCACCUCUCAAGUCCAGCUGAGCUGCACUUCCUCGGGAAAGUGUUCCUCCGCCCUGGAAAGGUCUGGCUUCCACCACACCAUCUCGGUGUGUCUCUUUGCUGGGCUUGGGUGAUUUUGAUUUUUCUCUUAGUUGUACUGUUUUUCAGUGGCCAGUGUCUCCCAGGAGACCAGAAGCUUUCCGUAGGCAGGACCCACCUGCUCUGUGAACCCCUUAAGCUCACUUGGCUCAGCCGCUGACAUCUAGCUCGCCCCGUCUCAUUCUCUGGGUUGUGGUUGACUCUGUGCUAAGCUCUGGCCUGAGCUGUGAACUAGCCAGCGAGCCUCCGUCCUCACAGCGUGCUUCUUAGUGCAAGAGACAGAUAGCAAAUGACCAGCGACGAGAGACUCUGAGGCCCAACACCCAGGGAUGCUGUGGUGGGGAUGGGAGACGUUGUUGGCAGAGAACCAUUGAAACCCGUGAUAGGAGAACAGAGGUCUGAGAUGAGGAGGGACUGGAGCCCGGAAGACUGUUCCAGACUUUGAUGGGAGGCCGUGAGGCCCCAGGGCAGGGGUAAGGGCGGCCUUUAGGGAUGUGCCCAGAGGCCAGUGUUCCCAGAGCAAGGAAGGAAACAGUCACCUGUGACAUGUUGGGAAGAUGGGCAGAGACCAGCAAGGGAGGAAAGGUCUGCAUGUGCGUCUGAGUGAAUGGGAGUCCUGACGGGGCCUCACAGAGCAGCAAGGCGUGAGCUGAGGUUUCUGUGCUCUCUGGGUGGACCUUAGGAGAAGGGAACGAGGGGAGUGCAGGCAGCUGUGGCAGGUGGGCCUGGGAACAGCAGGGAGCCACGGAAACAGGGUGGGUGGGGGAAGAAACGCGUCUCAGGCAAAGCAGGAGGCUGAAGUGACUUCAGGGACACUGGUCACAGUAGAGGACAUUGAGGACACCAUUUAUGAGAUGGGAAAGACUGGGAAGAAUGGAGGAGUGGAUGGACAGAUCAGCAAAUUGACGUAGAAAGACAAUAUGCUAAAGAAGGCUGAGCCUUUAGGGUGAGAAAUAUUCCUAAGGCACAAGACUUCUGACCUAGUCAAGAGUACUCCACAGACAUCAAACCAAAAAGAUAGGUGUGGAGAGGUUUGUCUUAGAGAUCAGCUGGUUAUAGGCAGGCUAGGAAGAUGGAAACCAGGCAAGACUUGAUAGUGCUCAGUUAAGGUCAAAUUGUUUCUUCCCAGGAAAACCUUAUUUUUUGUUGUUGUUGUUUUGUUUUGUCUUGUUUGUCUUGAGCCCACAAUACUGAGGGCAAUCUCUUUUAUUUACCACCUAGUGUUUUCAGAUGUUAACCACAUCUACAAAUUACCUUCUCUGCAUCACCUAGAUUAGUGUUCAGUUACGUAAGUGGAUCCUAUAGAAAGUUCACAUACACACACACACACACAAAUAACCCUCACAACUCCAAAUAAUAGUUCAAAGGAAACUGUUAGACCUUUACCCAUGAUAUAACUGAGGGUUGGCAAACUACUGUGCAGAGGCCAAAUCCUGCCCACUGCUGGGUGUUGAGAAUAAAGUUUAUUGGAACUCAGAUGCACCUGCUCAUCUGUGCAUUGUCUGUGGCUGCUUGAGUGUGACCACUGCAGAGGUGAGUAGUUGGGACGGAUAAGAUGAUCACUGUCUGGUGCUUUGCAGAAAAUGUCGGUGGAGACCUGGCUCGACUCCCUUUGUGGAGUCCCCCAGCAAGGCAGCUGCCAGAGCCCACAGAAGAGACUCAGGCUUCAUCACAGUCAUCAGAUCUGAAGUCGAGGAAGAGCCGGGUAAGUAUGGAGAGAACAGUCGAACACGCCCGGAGGUAUUAUGGGGGGAAGGAAACCUAAAACGCUUGCAUUUGGCUUCAGAUAACUGUUACCUCAUUGCUCAAAAAUGGAAGCUUGGCGUCUCCAGAACGUAAGGCUGAGCUCUCAAUGAAUCUCCCACGGAGGACGCAGCAGCAGGUAGGUGCAAGGAAAGAGCACCAGGGAGCCAACGUCACAGGCCACAGACUUGUGUAGCAGAGCAAGUAGCCACGGCUUGGGUUGGGCACCUCAUCCUCACCUCCUGCUGGGGAACAAACCCUUCAGAUACUGCACUGCUGCUUCCUGAAAGGAGUGUGUUGUGAAGUUUAAACCAUAUGAAGCCUUUUCCCUGCACGACGGUGUCUGAGUUUCGCCUACCACUCGGCAUCUUGAAAUAUUUUGUCUUCUCCGUGGAAACCCACCCCCUUUUCUUUUUUGGGAAAACGCCUGGCUGACCUGACUCCCGUUAACCCACAUCUGAAACAAGUCAUGUUGGCCUGAGAACUUAUUUUGAGUACUGAUUGAUAGGAAAAUUUAUAAGUUCUUUUAAUAACCUUUAAGAUUUAUUUUUAACAUGCAAGAAAAUAUGUGAUAUCAUAGAGAUAAGGCAAAAUAAAAUUGAUCUUUACAAGAGAUGAAAAAAAUCUUGCCACCCCAUAAUGUCUG